rnacentral:rRNA from 1 species
AACGUAGGAGGCGAGCGUUAUCCGGAUUUACUGGGCGUAAAGCGCGUGCAGGCGGCAUGGAAAGUUGGAUGUAAAAGCUCCCGGCUCAACUGGGAGAGGUCGUUCAAAACUACCAAGCUAGAGUACAGUAGAGGGAAGUGGAAUUCCGGGUGUAGUGGUGAAAUGCGUAGAUAUCCGGAGGAACACCAGUGGCGAAAGCGGCUUUCUAGACUGUAACUGACGCUCAGACGCGAAAGCUAGGGUAGCAAACGGG